AGAUAUCAGACUUUGUCAGAAUUGGAAUUAAAAGUUCUCAGUCCUGAUUUCAGUCCUGCCAGGGAGGAACAGAAUGAGAUAUCAGACUUUGUUGGAAUUGGGCUCUUUUCCCAUUUUGUGGUGUUUUUCCCACCCUUCAUCACACGGCUCCGUUGUCAGUGCAUGGCCAGGCAUGCUGAGGUUUUGAAAUUGUUCAGAUUACUCUGAUUUAGCGUGAAAUUUUGGGGUGUUUUUCCUAUUCCCCUCCACCCUUGCAAAAACUUGGGAAAGGGAUUGGACCUUACAAUUCUUUGUGUGCUUCUUUGAGAAGCUUUAUGCUGUUUGGGGAAUAUUAUCCUGAUUUUGUGAUUGCAGAGAAAGUGGAUUUUCAGGCUUCAGGAUUGGGAGCUGUAGCACUGAAAUCCCCACAUUCUGCUGUCCUAGAGCCACCCUGGGCUCUGCUCGGGGGAUCCCUGGAUCCCUCCUGCACUGAACACACACCAGUAUGUGUUUAUUGCCUCUUACAGCUCAUUAUCACACUAAUUAUUCCCAGUUUUCCCUCUCCCUGCCCCCCGGUCGGGCACAGGGAGGGGUCACAGGUGUGCAGACUCUGGUCAAACGCCUUUCCCAGCUGCUGGCUCACCUCUCUCUGCUUUUCCCUGCAGAUCUACGAGGGCACAGCCCAGAUCCAGCGAGUGAUCAUUGCCCGUGAGCACCUGGGCAGAGGCUCAUCCAUCCCCUGAGUGCAUCCCACUGACUGAUCAUCCCUAAAUCCUCCAGGAAUCACAUCGCUCUUCCCAAACCUCCCUUUGGCUUUCAGCAGCAAAGGAGACCAAACCCUUCCCCAGCAAACCUGGAUGAGCAGAGAGUGAACCAAAGUCUCAUUUUGUUAAAAUUUAUUUUUGCCAGUGACAGCAAAAGUCCUGCACGUCCCAGGGGUUGGAUUUGGGAUGUUUCCAUGUUUUUAACAGCACCAAUCCGCUCUCUUUGUGUAUUCCUGGGGCUUGGGUGAUGGCAGCUGGAUCAACCUCAGGGAAUUUUAAAAAAUCUGACUUUUCCUGCUGUGGCAGGGCCCAGAUGGCUCUGUCACUCAGGCUCCAGGGCCCUGCUUCCCAAGAGCCUUUCAACAUCCAGAUCUAAAGGAAAACUAAGGUGAAUCCAUGUUUCUCGAGCCAGAAUUCCUUGUUAGGGGUGAGCGGUGAUGAUGGUGUGUGAGAGGGGCUACGGGUGUGGCAGGAAAGGAGAAGGAUGGGGCAGGGGGAAGGUGGAUUUACUGAUCCUGUGGAAAAGCGUGCAGGAAAUGGGCUGGUUUUGGGCAUCGAAGCUGGCUGAGCCAGGGAUGAGACUUGUGUGGCACAGAGGGAUUCCCUGGAAAAAGGCUGGAGUCACUGCCAGGUCCCAAUAAACACUGCUGGUGAUUUGCA
rnacentral:lncRNA from 1 species